rnacentral:rRNA from 1 species
CCUACGGGCGGCAGCAGUGAGGAAUAUUGGUCAAUGGACGGGAGUCUGAACCAGCCAAGUAGCGUGAAGGAUGACUGCCCUAUGGGUUGUAAACUUCUUUUAUCUGGGAAUAAAACGUUCCACGUGUGGGAGGUUGUGUGUACCAUAUGAAUAAGGAUCGGCUAACUCCGUGCCAGCAGCCGCGGUAAUACGGAGGAUCCGAGCGUUAUCCGGAUUUAUUGGGUUUAAAGGGGGGGAAGGUGGAUUGUUAAGUCAGGUGGGAAAGUUUGCGGCGCAACCGCAGAAUUGCAGUUGAAACUGGCAGUCUUGAGUACAGUAGAGGUGGGCGGAAUGCGUGGUGUAGCGGUGAAAUGCUUAGAUAUCACGAAGAACUCCGAUUGCGAAGGCAGUUCACCGGACCGCCACUGACACUGAGGCACGAAAGUGUGGGUAUCAAACAGGAUUAGAUACCCUUGUAGUC